rnacentral:rRNA from 1 species
AAUUGGAUUGAGAACAAUGUACAACUCUUAUCGAUAAGCCAUUGGAGGGCAAGUCUGGUGCCAGCAGCCGCGGUAAUUCCAGCUCCAAUAGCGUAUAUUAACGUUGUUGCAGUUAAAAAGCUCGUAGUUGAAGUGUGGGUGAUCGCUGUUGUGAGACUUCGGUCUCUCGACAGUAAGUCACCCCCUUCCAGUAUCCAGUAGUGGGUAUUCAGUUACUUACUAUUGUGUGUUGGUCAUUUACUGUGAGAAAAUUAGAGUGUUCAAAGCAGGCGUUUGCUUGAAUAGAUUAGCAUGGAAUAAUAAUUGAAGGCUUUCGUGUUCGAUUUGAUUGGUUUGUUCAUGGAAGCAAGGUUAAAAGGAACAGUUGGGGGUAUUCAUAUUCACUAGUUAGAGGUGAAAUUCUCGGAUUUAUGGAAGAUGAACAAGUGCGAAAGCA